GGGUACUGACAGAUGUCUUUAUUCCUCUUAAAGAUAGGAGAUUAUCUGUGGACUUUUCAGCUGCAAUUGACUGGUCCUUGAUUUUUGCUGCAAACGACUAUCCUUUGACUUUCUAUCACCAGCUGAUGUUUGCUUGCACUCAGACUGUUCAUCUAGUUAAAUACUCCAUAUGAAUUGAGGCUCUUCAGUGCCCAUGUUAUUGUCUUACUUAAUUCCCUUGUAUUCACCUUGAUUUUAUUACGCUUCAGGUCCUGUCAGUUGAACUUGGAUUGCAAUAUCCACCCUGAGGGGGUUUUUCCUUGACUGGCUGUGCAUGAAGCUAGGGUAGGUUUUAUUUCUCCUACCUAUGGAAUUUUGCUGCCAGCCCCCUCUCAUGGGCUGAACAGCAUUGGCUGCUACCAGGCUGUGGAUAUAUGCGCAUUUGCUCCUAUGAACUUUGGUUUCUCUUGCCCCGCCAG